CACUAAGAAGCUAAUAAUUGGAAUAAGCAUCGGCCUUUUAAGCCGAAGUUUGGUGCCUACCGACCACCCUUAGUGA
rnacentral:tRNA from 1 species